UACAGAUACUAUAGUGUUUGUAUACCUACGAAAAUAUAUAGGUUUUCGUGACACAGACAGCUAGUAACUAUGUUGUUGUUUUUUUACUGAAAAUAUCCUGUAUAUGUUGACAAUAUCUUCGUCGAUCUGCCCCUUUAGUUUAUACACAUGAACUCAUUUGAUAUCGUAAUCAAGUUUCGUUGUCAAAAGUAUUUUGAUAUUUCAUUACGUUUAUAUAUAGAAAGUAUGCUGUAAAUUGAUUGAUUACUAUGCAAACAUGUAUUUACCAAAUCAUUACUUCAAAUCUUACAAGACAUAAAAUUACAUAUUUCCAAUCAUACAGACAUUCAUCCCCCUUCUUUCCAGCAUCUACAUCCAUCCCUCUGUCCUUCCGUGACACCGUCCGUCCGUUUGUUAGUCAGUCCUUCGAUCGAUCGAUAGAUAGAUCUAUCCAUCAAUGUAUUCAUCAAUGCAACCAUCAAUCCCUCAAUCCAUCCAUCCAUCAAUCAAUCCACAAAUCCACCAUUGUUUAAUCAAACAUCAUUCAAUUCAUAAAACCUCACAAACAUCCAAUCGCCCCAAUCCACCCAUCCACCUAUCCUUCUAUCCAUCCAUCAUUGCAUUGCAACUCCCAGCCAUCUUUCUGCUCAUCCAUACAUAUAUAGAUCAAACAAUCAAAAUAUAUUAAAGUCCAUCCACUAAUUUAUUCAUUCAUCAGUAAAUAAAUCCAUCCACCCUUGUCUACCUUAUCAAUCGACUUAUGAUCAAAAUCAAUACACUUUUCAUGUGUAUGCACUAUUUUUCAUAAAUUGUAAAAAAAAAACACGAAACAAUUCACGUGGAAAAAUCAAGAAGAAUCACAGACCAAAGUAAAAUAAAUUUUCAUAUAUAAGAGUGUAUUUCUGCUUUCAUACAAUUGGUAAAACUAUAACUCAAGACCAUCAGAGUACUGUAAACAAUUUGAAAGAUCUAUAAUUAAAAUGCGAACAAUACUUAAAGAAGAUGUUCGACCAAUUUAAAAUGGAUUGUGCAAAGAAGAUGUUCGACCAAUUUAAAAUGGAUUGUGCAAAGAAGGUCAAUACUUAUGCUGAUUAGGAUAGGGCUAAAGUCGCUAAACGGAUAUGUAAUACCAUGAAAAUAAAGGAAAUAAUUUCAAAGGAUGAAGUUCGUCCAUUACAUUUAUUUGUUGCUGAUAAAAAAACGCAACGAUAUCGCAUGAUGAAGAUUCGAAGUUACAGCAGUCUACUAAAAGAAGGUACUUACAAUACGAUAAAUAUUACUUUUCUCAAGCGUUUAUAUGCAAUGCAUACAUGUUGUUGAUAUUAUACAACUGUGUUAUUUUUCGUUCGAACACAUACAUAUUAAAUCUGCGCCGCUGGCUAUAAUGUUUAGAACAUAUUUUACUCAUCUCAGUAUCAACUGUUGAAACCAUUGCUUGAAUUGUAUGACAAAAAAGAUAAAUCAAAGAAACCUCGAACAGAUGAGCCAUCUGAACAACAGGAUUUAUAUUAAAAUCAAGAGCAGUUGAUGGCAUUACAAGAGAAAGAAAAACAACGACAAGUGGAAGAAAGUAAGCACAUGCGUUAUACAGUGUAUAGUCACUUUUUUUAGUUGCUUGAGGAAUACGAGAAAAGAACAGACACAGCACAGUUGUCACAAUCAAAAAUAGAUGCAUUGGAUCAUUCAUGGACAACUGACGCAGGCGUGAAAUCAAAUGUAGAAGGUGAGCUUGUGGUGUUUGAAAUAAACUUCGCGUGAUGUCCAUCGGAUGUUACCGAAAGCGUUAUUAGCGAAUUGAGAAUAAAGGCCAUAUUCUGGGCCGCUGUUAGAGAGGAAAAGAAAAUGCCGGAAUCACAAACAGACAAGAAUUAUAGUCAACUGUACGAGAUUCUAGUCAUGGGGAAAACGCAUCACCAAAGAUUAAAUGA